rnacentral:sRNA from 1 species
AUGGCUGUCGUCAGCUCGUGUCGUGAGAUGUUGGGUUAAGUCCCGCAACGAGCGCAACCCUUGUCCCUAGUUGCUACGCAAGAGCACUCUAGGGAGACUGCCGGUGACAAACCGGAGGAAGGUGGGGAUGACGUCAAGUCCUCAUGGCCCUUAUGGGUAGGGCUUCACACGUCAUACAAUGGUCGGAACAGAGGGUCGCCAACCCGCGAGGGGGAGCCAAUCCCAGAAAACCGAUCGUAGUCCGGAUCGCACUCUGCAACUCGAGUGCGUGAAGCUGGAAUCGCUAGUAAUCGCGGAUCAGCAUGCCGCGGUGAAUACGUUCCCGGGUCUUGUACACACCGCCCGUCACACCAUGGGAGUGGGUUUCACCAGAAGUAGGUAGCCUAACCUGCAAAGGAGGGCGCUUACCACGGUGGGAUUCAUGACUGGGGUGAAGUCGUAACAAGGUAGCCGUAUCGGAAGGUGCGGCUGGAUCACCUCCUUUCUCGAGCUAACGCGUCAACGUGUUGAGCGCUCACGCUUAUCGGCUGUGAAAUUGAAGACAGAUACGCAGACAGACUCAGGGGUCUGUAGCUCAGUCGGUUAGAGCACCGUCUUGAUAAGGCGGGGGUCGAUGGUUCGAAUCCAUCCAGACCCACCAAAGUCUUGUCUGGUGAGCUGACCGUCUAACGCCCCCUGAAGUAUCUGUAUGACUGGGGGAUUAGCUCAGCUGGGAGAGCACCUGCUUUGCAAGCAGGGGGUCGUCGGUUCGAUCCCGUCAUCCUCCACCAAUCUUCAAUGCGCAGUGUUCUGCCGCAGGCAGAGCAUUUUGCAUUGGCGAUUGAGCCAGUCAGUAGAGAUACGUGGUUAUAGCAACCGCGAUAUCGGCUGUCGUUCUUUAACAAUCAGGAAGAAGUAGUAAAGAGAUUCACGAAAGCAUACUUAGAGAUGGGUGUGCGAGUAGGUGAAUCAGGGUUGUGAUUGUAUCAAUGUAUGAAAAGGUGAUCGAAAGAUUGCUUUGGAAUACGGCGCAACACGAAUACUCAACCUGUAGCGAUUGUGGCGACGAUCGUCUUCCGAGUGAAGAGGAUAAGAGACACACCCGUUAUAGGGUCAAGCGAACAAGUGCAUGUGGUGGAUGCCUUGGCGAUCACAGGCGAUGAAGGACGCGGUAGCCUGCGAAAAGCGGGGGGGAGCUGGCAAACGAGCUUUGAUCCCCCGAUAUCCGAAUGGGGAAACCCGG